rnacentral:rRNA from 1 species
GAAAGUAAGAAAGGGCGCAUGGCGGAUGCCUUGGCUCUCGGAGGCGAUGAAGGACGUGAUAAGCUGCGAUAAGCUGCGGGUAGGUGCAAAUAACCUUUGAUCCGCGGAUUUCCGAAUGGGACAACCCAACCGGUUGAAGACCGGUUAUCUAUCCAAUGAUAGAGGCUAACGCAGGGAACUGAAACAUCUUAGUACCUGCAGGAAAAGAAAAUAAAUAAUGAUUCCCCUAGUAGUGGCGAGCGAACGGGGAUUAGCCCAAACCAUGAAUGUUACGGCAUUUAUGGGGUUGUAGGACCACGAUGUCGCAAGACAUCUGACGAAUGGAAUCCUCUGGAAAGAGGAGCCGUAGACGGUGAUAGCCCGGUACAUGAAGUCAGACGAAGCGUAGUGGUAUCCUGAGUAGCGCGGAGCACGAGGAAUUCUGCGUGAACCAGCCGGGACCAUCCGGUAAGGCUAAAUACUCCCGAGAGACCGAUAGUGAACCAGUACUGUGAAGGAAAGGUGAAAAGCACUUCGAAUAGAAGAGUGAAAUAGUCCCUGAAACCGUGCGCCUACAAGCGGUCGGAGCUGUUUUAAACAGUGACGGCGUGCCUUUUGCAUAAUGAACCUACGAGUUACUUUUACUGGCAAGGUUAAGCAUCUUGAGAUGUGUAUCCGAAGCGAAAGCGAGUCUGAACAGGGCGUAUAGUCAGUAGGAGUAGACGCGAAACCAAGUGAUCUACCCUUGGGCAGGUUGAAGGUUAGGUAACACUAACUGGAGGACCGAACCGAUAAGCGUUGAAAAGCUUCCGGAUGACCUGAGGGUGGGGGUGAAAGGCUAAUCAAACUUGGAGAUAGCUCGUACUCCCCGAAAUGCAUUUAGGUGCAGCCUUGUGAGUUACUAAUGUGAGGUAGAGCGACUGAUAAGAUGCGAGGGCUUCGCCGCCUAUCAAGUCUUGAUAAACUCCGAAUGCGCAUUAGUCCUAUCACAGGAGUGAGGGCAUGGGUGCUAAGGUCCAUGUCCGAAAGGAGAAGAAUCCAGACCAUCAGCUAAGGUCCCCAAAUAAAUGCUAAGUUGAACUAACGAAGUCAGAUUGCUAAGACAGCUAGGAUGUUGGCUUGGAAGCAGCCAUUCAUUUAAAGAGUGCGUAACAGCUCACUAGUCGAGGAGUUUGGCGUGGAUAAUAAUCGGGCAUCAAGCAUUUUACCGAAGCUAUGGGAUACGUAAGUAUCGGUAGGGGAGCAUUCCACUCGGCGUCGAAGGUGAAGCGCGAGCUUUGCUGGAGCGUGUGGAAAAGCAAAUGUAGGUAUAAGUAACGAUAAAGGGGGUGGGAAACCCCCUCGCCGAAAGACUAAGGUUUCCUGAUCAACGCUAAUCGGAUCAGGGUUAGUCGGGUCCUAAGGCUCAGCCGAACGGUGAUGCCGAUGGCAGAACAGGUUAAUAUUCCUGUACUACCUUAAGGAGUGACGUGGAGACGGAGUCGUGACAGCGCCGCGGACUGACGGAAUAGUCCGUUGAAGGGUGUAGAUGUUGAUUGCGGCAGGCAAAUCCACCGCAAGAGUCGAACCUGAUAGUAUGGAGCGUUCUUCUGAACAAUCCAAUAGUGCGUGUAAGCAUACUCCCAAGAAAAUCCGCUAAACUUAAUCCUUGAGGUACCCGUACCGUAAACGGACACACGUAGUCGGGUUGAAUAUACUAAGGCGCUUGAGUGAUUCACGGUUAAGGAACUAGGCAAAUUGACCCUGUAACUUCGGGAUAAAGGGUCCCUGCUGAGAGGUAGGGCGCAGAGAAUAGGUCCAGGCAACUGUUUAACAAAAACACAGGGCUGUGCAAAAUUGAAAGAUCACGUAUACAGCCUGACACCUGCCCGGUGCUGGAAGGUUAAGAGGAGAUGUCAUCGCAAGAGAAGCAUUGAAUUGAAGCCCCAGUAAACGGCGGCCGUAACUAUAACGGUCCUAAGGUAGCGAAAUUCCUUGUCGGGUAAGUUCCGACC